GGGGGCUAGCGUUGCUCGGAAUCACUGGGCGUAAAGCGCACGUAGGCGGCUUUUUAAGUCAGGGGUGAAAUCCUGGAGCUCAACUCCAGAACUGCCUUUGAUACUGGGAAUCUCGAGUCCGGAAGAGGUGAGUGGAACUGCGAGUGUAGAGGUGAAAUUCGUAGAUAUUCGCAAGAACACCAGUGGCGAAGGCGGCUCACUGGCCCGAUACUGACGCUGAGGCACGAAAGCGUGGGGAGCAAACAGG
rnacentral:rRNA from 1 species